ACCUGAAACCGUGUGCCUACAAACCGUCGGAGCAGACUUUUCUGUGACGGCGUGCCUUUUGAAGAAUGAGCCUGCGAGUUAGUGUCAUGUCGCGAGGUUAACCCGUGUGGGGAAGCCGUAGCGAAAGCGAGUCUGAAGAGGGCGUUCAGAGUGGCGUGAUCUAGACCCGAAGCGAAGUGAUCUACCCAUGGCCAGGUUGAAGCGCGUGUAAGAGCGCGUGGAGGACCGAACCCACUUCAGUUGAAAAUGGAGGGGAUGAGCUGUGGGUAGGGGUGAAAGGCCAAUCAAACUCGGAGAUAGCUGGUUCUCCGCGAAAGCUAUUUAGGUAGCGCCUCGGACGAAUACCAUAUGGGGUAGAGCACUGUUUCGGCUAGGGGGUCAUCCCGACUUACCAAACCGAUGCAAACUCCGAAUACCAGCAAGUGUCAGCACGGGAGACACAC
rnacentral:rRNA from 1 species